UACUCGAGUGGCGAACGGGUGAGUAACACGUGGGUGAUCUGCCCUGCACUUUGGGAUAAGCCUGGGAAACUGGGUCUAAUACCGAAUAGGACCACACUCUUCAUGGUGUGUGGUGGAAAGCUUUGCGGUGUGGGAUGGGCCCGCGGCCUAUCAGCUUGUUGGUGGGGUAAUGGCCUACCAAGGCGACGACGGGUAGCCGGCCUGAGAGGGUGACCGGCCACACUGGGACUGAGAUACGGCCCAGACUCCUACGGGAGGCAGCAGUGGGGAAUAUUGCACAAUGGGCGCAAGCCUGAUGCAGCGACGCCGCGUGAGGGAUGACGGCCUUCGGGUUGUAAACCUCUUUCAAUAGGGACGAAGCGCAAGUGACGGUACCUAUAGAAGAAGGACCGGCCAACUACGUGCCAGCAGCCGCGGUAAUACGUAGGGUCCGAGCGUUGUCCGGAAUUACUGGGCGUAAAGAGCUCGUAGGUGGUUUGUCGCGUUGUUCGUGAAAACUCACAGCUUAACUGUGGGCGUGCGGGCGAUACGGGCAGACUAGAGUACUGCAGGGGAGACUGGAAUUCCUGGUGUAGCGGUGGAAUGCGCAGAUAUCAGGAGGAACACCGGUGGCGAAGGCGGGUCUCUGGGCAGUAACUGACGCUGAGGAGCGAAAGCGUGGGGAGCGAACAGGAUUAGAUACCCUGGUAGUCCACGCCGUAAACGGUGGGUACUAGGUGUGGGUUUCCUUCCUUGGGAUCCGUGCCGUAGCUAACGCAUUAAGUACCCCGCCUGGGGAGUACGGCCGCAAGGCUAAAACUCAAAGGAAUUGACGGGGGCC
rnacentral:rRNA from 1 species